rnacentral:tRNA from 1 species
GUAAACGUGCCAGAGUGGUUAUCGGGCAUGACUAGAAAUCAUGUGGGCUCAGCCCGCGACGGUUCGAAUCCUGCCGGUCACG